AGCCUGAUGCAGCCAUGCCGCGUGUGUGAAGAAGGCCUUCGGGUUGUAAAGCACUUUCAGUCGUGAGGAAGGUGGUGUAGUUAAUAGCUGCAUUACUUGACGUUAGCGACAGAAGAAGCACCGGCUAACUCCGUGCCAGCAGCCGCGGUAAUACGGAGGGUGCGAGCGUUAAUCGGAAUUACUGGGCGUAAAGCGCAUGCAGGUGGUUUGUUAAGUCAGAUGUGAAAGCCCGGGGCUCAACCUCGGAAUAGCAUUUGAAACUGGCAGACUAGAGUACUGUAGAGGGGGGUAGAAUUUCAGGUGUAGCGGUGAAAUGCGUAGAGAUCUGAAGGAAUACCGGUGGCGAAGGCGGCCCCCUGGACAGAUACUGACACUCAGAUGCGAAAGCGUGGGGAGCAAACAGGAUUAGAUACCCUGGUAGUCCACGCCGUAAACGAUGUCUACUUGGAGGUUGUGGCCUUGAGCCGUGGCUUUCGGAGCUAACGCGUUAAGUAGACCGCCU
rnacentral:rRNA from 1 species